rnacentral:rRNA from 1 species
GACGAACGCUGGCGGCGUGCUUAACACAUGCAAGUCGAACGGACAGGCCCUGCUUUUGUUGGGUGCUCGAGUGGCGAACGGGUGAGUAACACGUUAGUAACCUGCCCUUUACUUUUGGAUAACUUCAGGAAACUGGGGCUAAUACCGGAUAGGUGCUCCUGCUGCAUGGUGUGGGUUGUAAAGUUUCGUCCGUUGGGGAUGUACUCGCGGCUUAUCAGCUUGUUGGUGGGGUAGUGGCUUACCAAGUCUUUGACGGGUAGCCGGCAUGAGAGGGUGACCGGCCACAUUGGGACUGAGAGACGGACCAGAAGCCUACGGGAGGCAGCAGUGGGGAAUAUUGCAGAAUGGGCGGAAGCCUGAUGCAGAAACGCCGCGUGCGGGAUGACGGCCUUCGGGUUGUAAACCGCUUUCGCCUGUGACGAAGCGUGAGUGACGGUAAUGGGUAAAGAAGCACCGGCUAACUACGUG